rnacentral:rRNA from 1 species
UACGUAGGGGGCUAGCGUUGUCCGGAAUCAUUGGGCGUAAAGCGCGUGUAGGCGGCUCGGUAAGUCUGCUGUGAAAGUCCAGGGCUCAACCCUGGAAUGCCGGUGGAUACUGUCGAGCUAGAGUCCGGAAGAGGCGAGUGGAAUUCCUGGUGUAGCGGUGAAAUGCGCAGAUAUCAGGAGGAACACCAAUGGCGAAGGCAGCUCGCUGGGACGGUACUGACGCUGAGACGCGAAAGCGUGGGGAGCAAACAGG